UACGUAGGGUGCAAGCGUUGUCCGGAAUUAUUGGGCGUAAAGAGCUCGUAGGCGGUCUGUCACGUCGGCUGUGAAAUCCCGAGGCUCAACCUCGGGUCUGCAGUCGAUACGGGCAAACUAGAGUAUUGCAGGGGAGACUGGAAUUCCUGGUGUAGCGGUGAAAUGCGCAGAUAUCAGGAGGAACACCGGUGGCGAAGGCGGGUCUCUGGGCCGAUACUGACACUGAGGAGCGAAAGCGUGGGGAGCGAACAGG
rnacentral:rRNA from 1 species